rnacentral:rRNA from 1 species
AGAGUUUGAUCCUGGCUCAGGACGAACGCUGGCGGCGUGCUUAACACAUGCAAGUCGAACGGGCUCUGUCUGGCUGUGUGCUGGGUGGGGUUAGUGGCGAACGGGUGAGUAAUACGUGAGUAACCUGCCCUCUUCUUUGGGAUAAGCCUUGGAAACGGGGUCUAAUACUGGAUAUUCCUGUCUGGUCGCAUGGCUGGGUGGGGAAAGUUUUUUUCGGUGGGGGAUGGGCUCGCGGCCUAUCAGCUUGUUGGUGGGGUGAUGGCCUACCAAGGCGUCGACGGGUAGCCGGCCUGAGAGGGUGACCGGCCACACUGGGACUGAGAUACGGCCCAGACUCCUACGGGAGGCAGCAGUGGGGGAUAUUGCACAAUGGGCGCAAGCCUGAUGCAGCGACGCCGCGUGGGGGAUGACGGCUUUCGGGUUGUAAACCUCUUUCGUCGGGGGACAAGGCUCUGCUUGGUGGUGGGGUUGAGGGUACCCGGUGAAGAAGCGCCGGCUAACUACGUGCCAGCAGCCGCGGUAAUACGUAGGGCGCGAGCGUUGUCCGGAAUUAUUGGGCGUAAAGGGCUCGUAGGCGGCUUGUCGCGUCUGCUGUGAAAAUGCGGGGCUUAACUCCGUACGUGCAGUGGGUACGGGCAGGCUAGAGUGCGGUAGGGGUGACUGGAAUUCCUGGUGUAGCGGUGGAAUGCGCAGAUAUCAGGAGGAACACCGAUGGCGAAGGCAGGUCACUGGGCUGUUACUGACGCUGAGGAGCGAAAGCGUGGGGAGCGAACAGGAUUAGAUACCCUGGUAGUCCAUGCUGUAAACGUUGGGAACUAGGUGUGGGGUUCUUUCCACGGAUUCUGCGCCGGAGCUAACGCAUUAAGUUCCCCGCCUGGGGAGUACGGCCGCAAGGCUAAAACUCAAAGGAAUUGACGGGGGCCCGCACAAGCGGCGGAGCAUGCGGAUUAAUUCGAUGCAACGCGAAGAACCUUACCAAGGCUUGACAUACGCUGGGACGGUGCAGAGAUGUGCUGGCUUUUGCUGG